AUGGGAGGAGACUGGGGCCCCGCGCUUGACAGCCCCCGAGAAGCAGCGGCGAAGACAGGGUCAGCAGUAGUUCGCGUUCACCAUCCUCCGGGGUCAGUCACCGGGAACGUGGCGGCCAAGUUCACCGGCGGUUCCGGCUCAAAGCGCCGAGUCGCAGCCGCAGCAGCAGCCGCCGCCGCCGCCGCCGCCGCCGCCGCCUCCAGCCCGUGCGUCCUCCUCCACCGCCCACUCCUCCUCCUCCUCCGCCGCCGCCCCCAGCUCCUGCGGGAAGGGCCUCCGCUGCUCUUCGCUAUUUCGCCUCUGCUUCUCCUUCCCUCCUCUCCUCGCUCCCCUCCAGAAUGUUCAUCCGUAAUCUACAUAACUCCUCCUUCCCGGGGUCUGCCAGGCUCUCUGCGCCCGUGGCGCGCGCGCGCGCGCGGACACACACACGCACUCACACUCACACAUACCGCGACACACACACACACCCACGAGCUUACACACAGCCCGACACACACGCACGCGCGCCUCUUAAAGGAGACGGCUCCUAAAGGCUUCCCCACUACGGUAGGGCGCACCGGAGGUAUCCAGCCGCGACCGGGACCCAGCCAGCAGAGGGGAAGAGGAGCCCACGGGAAAGAAAAGCAGGCGAGGUUAAGAAUAAAGAGUGUUCCAGGUAUGACAGCUACCUCGGUGAGGUGGAAGAGAGAAUUGACAAGGCAGAUUUCAUGGGUCUCACUCUGUUACCUAGGCUGAAGUAUAGUGGCACAAUCCUGGCUCACUGCAACCUCCACCUCCUGGGUUCAAAUGCUUCUUCUGCCUCAGCAUCCUGAGUAGCUGGAACUACAGGCAUGUAUCAUCAUACCCACUUAAUUUUUAUAAUUUUAGUAGAGAAGGGGUUUCACCAUGUUGGUCAGCUGGUCUCAAACUCCUGACCUCCAGUGGUCUAUCCACCUCAGCCUCCCAAAAUGAUGGGAUUACAGGCAUGAACCACUGUACCCAGUCGAAUCUCGACUUUGGAUCAUACUACAGUAGUUACAUUGAAGGAGGGAAGAGAACCACUUCCUGAGGAAGAGUAUAAUAAUUUACAGUAUCACACUGGACUUAGACAUAUUGUAGGCAUUUAAUAAUACUAAGUAGCAGAUAAUUAAUUUGGGAUAAUGAAGUCUUUUGAUAUAAGGUCACUUUUAAAAUUCAAAAAAUAGCAACCAUUCUCUCAAAUAACCUUAUAAAACAUAUAACACAUAAAAAAGUUAUACAUGUACGAUAGCAGAA
rnacentral:lncRNA from 13 species